UGCCCGGUAGUGUAAUGGCAACACACAUGGCUCUGGACCAUGUAAUUCCAGGUUCGAGUCCUGGCCGGGCAG
rnacentral:tRNA from 1 species